rnacentral:lncRNA from 1 species
GAGAAUUGCACCCGUUAGACACAUCCUUUGAUUUGAGUAUGUCUUUUCACCAUGGGAUACAACACAUUACAACAGUAUGUCCAAUGGACAUAUCUGAUACAAAACACCAAUUACCCAAAGGUCACAUAUGUUGUAAAACAUUCAGCAACCAUUGGGUAUCUCUAUUAGCAAAAGCUGCAAUGCUUUUCGAAAAGAUAUAAUUGUUGGGUCAAUGACCCAACUUCCCGUCAAACA